UACGUAGGUGACAAGCGUUGUCCGGAUUUACUGGGCGUAAAGAGCGCGCAGGCGGUCGAUCAAGUCGAGUGUGAAAGCCCCCGGCUCAACUGGGGAGGGUCAUUCGAUACUGAUCGACUUGAAGGCAGGAGAGGGUAGUGGAAUUCCCGGUGUAGUGGUGAAAUGCUUAGAUAUGACAUAGAACACCCAUUGCGAAGGCAGCUUACUACACAAAUAUUGACGCUGAGGCACGAAAGCGUGGGGAUCAAACAGG
rnacentral:rRNA from 1 species